AGGACGAACGCUGGCGGCGUGCUUAACACAUGCAAGUCGAGCGGUGACGCACCUUCGGGUGCUGAUCAGCGGCGAACGGGUGAGUAACACGUGGGCAACCUGCCCCUAACACUGGGAUAACCUCGGGAAACCGGGGCUAAUACCGGAUAUGACCUCAAGCGGCAUCUCUUGAGGUGGAAAGCUCCGACGGUGAGGGAUGGGCCCGCGGCCUAUCAGCUUGUUGGUGGGGUAAUGGCCUACCAAGGCGACGACGGGUA
rnacentral:rRNA from 1 species